CCUACGGGAGGCAGCAGUGGGGAAUAUUGGACAAUGGGCGAAAGCCUGAUCCAGCCAUGCCGCGUGAGUGAAGAAGGCCUUCGGGUUGUAAAGCUCUUUCGGCGGGGACGAAAAGGUCCGUGCUAACACCACGGAUCCAUGACGGUACCCGCAGAAGAAGCACCGGCUAACUACGUGCCAGCAGCCGCGGUAAUACGUAGGGUGCAGGCGUUAAUCGGAAUUACUGGGCGUAAAGCGUGCGCAGGCGGUCUAUUAAGACAGGUGUGAAAUCCCCGGGCUUAACCUGGGAACUGCGCUUGUAACUGAUAGGCUGGAGUGUGGCAGAGGGGGGUGGAAUUCCAGGUGUAGCAGUGAAAUGCGUAGAGAUCUGGAGGAACACCGAUGGCGAAGGCAGCCCCCUGGGCUAACACUGACGCUCAUGCACGAAAGCGUGGGGAGCAAACAGGAUUAGAUACCCUGGUAGUCCACGCCCUAAACUAUGUCAACUGGUUGUCGGGGAAGCAAUUCCUUGGUAACGAAGCUAACGCGUGAAGUUGACCGCCUGGGGAGUACGGCCGCAAGGUUAAAACUCAAAGGAAUUGACGG
rnacentral:rRNA from 1 species